AACGAACGCUGGCGGCAUGCCUAACACAUGCAAGUCGAACGAGACCUUCGGGUCUAGUGGCGCACGGGUGCGUAACGCGUGGGAACCUGCCCUUAGGCUCGGAAUAACUCCCCGAAAGGGGUGCUAAUACCGGAUAAUGUCUUCGGACCAAAGAUUUAUCGCCUUUGGAUGGGCCCGCGUUGGAUUAGCUAGUUGGUAGGAUAAAAGCCUACCAAGGCGACGAUCCAUAGCUGGUCUGAGAGGAUGAUCAGCCACACUGGGACUGAGACACGGCCCAGACUCCUACGGGAGGCAGCAGUGGGGAAUAUUGGACAAUGGGCGAAAGCCUGAUCCAGCAAUGCCGCGUGAGUGAUGAAGGCCUUAGGGUUGUAAAGCUCUUUUACCCGGGAUGAUAAUGACAGUACCGGGAGAAUAAGCUCCGGCUAACUCCGUG
rnacentral:rRNA from 1 species